rnacentral:rRNA from 1 species
ACUCCUACGGGAGGCAGCAGUGGGGAAUAUUGCACAAUGGGCGCAAGCCUGAUGCAGCGACGCCGCGUGGGGGAUGAAGGCCUUCGGGUUGUAAACUCCUUUCGCUAGGGACGAAGCUUUUUUGUGACGGUACCUAGAUAAGAAGCACCGGCUAACUACGUGCCAGCAGCCGCGGUAAUACGUAGGGUGCGAGCGUUGUCCGGAAUUACUGGGCGUAAAGGGCUCGUAGGUGGUUUGUCGCGUCGUCUGUGAAAUUCUGGGGCUUAACUCCGGGCGUGCAGGCGAUACGGGCAUAACUUGAGUGCUGUAGGGGUAACUGGAAUUCCUGGUGUAGCGGUGAAAUGCGCAGAUAUCAGGAGGAACACCGAUGGCGAAGGCAGGUUACUGGGCAGUUACUGACGCUGAGGAGCGAAAGGAUGGGUAGCGAACAGGAGUAGAAACCCCGGUAGUCCCA